GUUAAAUAAUUACAUCAUACGAAGACAACGAUCUAGCAACCAAAGUUGACUGGGAGACGAUAGCCUAGACCACUCACAAACUUAUCACAACAUCCUUUAUGCUCCUCAUCCUGUGGUACAUGUUCUUGACCUGGAAGAGAUGUGAGUACAGCAAGGGUGAGCUCACAUACGUUCAUCGCUCAACAAGUUGUGGGGAAUAAUGUGCAUGAACUCACCAAAGGUGGGAGCUCAUGUGAAGUGUAAGGCUUACCAAAGGACAUGGUUAAAGCUGAGCAUUGCUUUUAAACUCGGUCAAAUUUUAUUAGCAGUUACUAAGUAUAAGUUGAUAACAACCCAAUUAAGUAAGAGAUCAAAAUUGAUAAUAACACACGUGAUGCAAUGUAUAUGACAUAUUAAGUUUAGUUCCAUAAAUUAAUCAUACGAGAGUCCUGAGCUGCUCAUGAUCGCGAGCACGACUGAUAUACCAGUUUUACACUCUGCAGAGGUUGCGUCCUUUACCCACAAGUCAUGUAUCCCGUCUAGCCAGGGUUAACUAGACCCUUAGACACUUUCGAGGUGAAUGGCUAGGGAUCCACUACGAGGCCUUUACAAAGUUCCACUAGCUUUAGAAAACCCGCUACAGUUUCUAGGAAGGGCUAUAUAGGAAUCCGUCGUCCGAAAAGCCAUCGCAACAUGAUCAACCCGAGAACCUCCCUAUAUGCAACUCCCCUAUUGCCCUUGUCCCUUUCAGGUAAGGUAGUCCUCCACUAGCUUUCCUAAUUAGUUAGUCAAGGGCGUCCCAUUCCACCCUUGUGGUAGCACGUUUUUUUCUCAAGUUAAGAUACAUGUUCCAAUUAACACAAUGAUCCUAUCAUGAACAAUAAUUAAGACAACAGUAUAAUCGAAACACGAUCAUAAUGUAAUAUUAAUCCCAAAACCAGAUAGAGCAAUAGCAUAACUACCCAAAAGUUCAGUGGUAAACAAGGUGUGGGAUAAACAAGUCUAGGGAAACCUAUUAGGUUCCAUCAGAUUAACCUGAGCAUGUCAUAGUGAUUAACAGUAACAUUAUUGGGUAAAGAACAGUGAUCAAGGGCACAACUUGCCUGAGACUUAAGAUUCUAGGUACCAGGAUGAUCUUCUGAUUCUCGUGACCUCACUGCUAAUCGUAGCAAUACAAACAAACAUGGUAUAAGCAAAAUUAACAUCACACCAAACAUAAGAAUAAACUGCAUAAUAAUGACCUGCGUGUCGUAACGAGAACCUAGGUUCGAGAACCACUAAAUUCGGAGUUACGAUUUAAGAGGUAUAGUAUUCGGAAGACCUACAUGAUUAAGUAAUUAAACUAGGUCUUGUUUUGAUUUCAUAAAUAUAAUUUAAAGAAAUAAUUAAUUCAACUUUAAUCUUAAUUAUAACUUGACUAGAGAUCAUAUUUUAGUCAAAUUAUAAUUAUGGACAGGUUAGCUUUGUUUUAGAAGAGUUAAUCUAGUAGACAUGGGAUAAGUAAGUAUCUAACUAUAAAACUAUGCGACAAGGUAUAAUUAAUGUUGUUACUGCAUAGUAAAUAUUUAUACGAAGCUAACGCAACUGGAACAGACCAAAACAGAGUUAAAAUAAGGAAGAUGUGAUUUUUCCAAGGUUUUUAGAGUUAUCUUCAAAUUAAAAAUCAAUUUCUCUGGUUAUUUUAUUAGUUCACUAGACAUCUGGACCGCGCACAACAAUACCCUAAAGAUCAGGGGCUAACAUGAUAAAAACAUGGCUUAGUUGUAAUGGUUCUAGAGUUGUAUGGGAUCGCUGGUUAUUUUCUAUAAAGCAUGGGGACUCGUUUGCAUAUUACCGAGACCGAAGAAGUAUCGUAGGAGAUGAGCCGUAAGAUCACAAGCCCACCGCCAGGAUUAGAUCGGAUCCUAGACAACUAGAACGUGCACCCCACCGUCGGAUUCGAUCCCAAUGGUGUGGGUUAGAUCUGGCUUUAACCCAGGUGGUACGCGCCCAGAGCCGUGGAUCCAACAAUCGGUGGCCUGUAUUCUAUAUGGACGAAAGGGUAUGCCUGAUUAAAUCAUGGCCACCCAACUGUGAAUCGACGGUUCUGAUAUAUUAGGCUGAAGGGGUACAUGCGAUUUAAUCACAGCCGUUCAAACGGAAUUAGACGAUCGCGAGUUCGUCUUCCCCACAGCCACCCUAGCCGAGCUAAGCACGGCGGAGCCGCCGGGGAUCAUGGCGGAUUCACGCCGUCGAAGGUGAUUCUCCACUCUAGUAUGAUGCUUCCUACCUAGCCCGGAGCUACAUGAUACGUGGAUGAAAGCGAGUCGGUCUAGAGGGUUCUCACCGUGUUUCUGCCAUGCAAACACCCGCCCAUGGCGAAGGACAGCAGCGUGGCGGCGCCGACCAACGGUGAGUAAAUCCUCGGUCCUUGCUUGCUCCCAUGGAUCCACAGAACCACGAACACAAUCCUCGGAUCACGACGAAUCUUCCUAGCCUUCAUCCGAGUCACUGGCGACGGUGUAGCGAUCGGUCAUUGGCGGUGACUGGGAUUUCUCCCUCCCCAUUAGCAGCGACGGUGGUUAGAACCGCACAAUUUUUGAGCAGGCGAUGCCAAUGGGGGAGGAGAAGGGAGUGAGGGACGCUGGCGCAGGGUUUUAUAUCUCGGA
rnacentral:lncRNA from 1 species